CUGCCUCAGGGGUCCAGGGCUGGGAUCCCAAGCCUGAGCAGUAAUCCUUGCUCCCAGCUCUACUCCUUUGGUGUUCUAGGGUCUAAUCCCAGCUGGGCCCAAGCAGGAUUCAUUUGCCCUUUGGUUGUUUCCUCACAACCAGCUGCUGAUUCCAGCACAGGCUGAGUCCGUGGCAAGGGCAGGAAUAUCCAUCCCCUGGAGAGUGCCUGGGCAUCCCUAGGGCUUCUGGGGCACUGGAAUCUCCUCCAGCAGCCACCAGCACACAGGAACAAGCUGUUCCUUUCCCAGCUCAUCCCAGUGGCACGCACACCAUUUCCUUCCCUUUAUCAGAGGAAUUUGGAAAUAGCCCUUUCCAGUGAGCCCUUUCUCACUGAAUGGUGCUUUGAGUGUUACAAAGUUGAUAAAAGGCCACAGAAAAGGAGGUCCAAGAAGAGAGUUCUGCUCCAAAGGAAGAGUUUUGCUCUAAGAGAAAAGGCCCCUCCAAGAGGAGGUCUCUGCUCUCCAGCAGUGUCUCCGUGUCCCCCUGUGUUGGCUGGGGACAGUUUUUGGUCUCAGAGUCCUGGGCAGUGCUAAGGGGAAAAAAUCCGAAAAUAUUUAAGGGAAGAAAAACUAAGUAGAGAGCAAUUCGGGAAAACCUGGCUGUGUCAGGCUGUUCCUCCCCGUGCCCCUGGAGCUGUGCCAAGGAGUGGCAGGGGGGUGGUGGCAGCAGUGACAGUGACAAGCUGGGCAGCUGCAGAGCGAGGAGGAGCAGCGGGAUCGCCCUGAGAGCGCCAUGAGGGGUUUCCAGAGGGGCUCCCAGCUCCUGGCAGCGGCACUCCGGAUCAGCCGGGCACCCCGGGCACAGCUCCGCUCCCACCCCGCCGAGCACCCGCUCUCUCCCGGUGAACAAGCCGUGGCCUUCACCCUGAUGUUCUCGUCCUUCCUGCUGCCCACAGCCUGGGUCCUGAGCAACAUCUACAACUACAGGAGCAGGCCCGAGUGAGGAGUGGCAGGAGCAGCCUGAUCCCUGCUGAGAGCAUCCCGAGGGAAGAGGCCACGGGACAGAGCCUCGCCGGGAUGGAACCCCCUGAACCUGCUCAUUAAAAUCCACCUUUGCAUUCAACAA